GUGGGGAAUCUUGCGCAAUGGGCGAAAGCCUGACGCAGCCAUGCCGCGUGAAUGAUGAAGGUCUUAGGAUUGUAAAAUUCUUUCACCGGGGACGAUAAUGACGGUACCCGGAGAAGAAGCUCCGGCUAACUUCGUGCCAGCAGCCGCGGUAAUACGAAGGGGGCUAGCGUUGCUCGGAAUUACUGGGCGUAAAGGGCGCGUAGGCGGACAGCUUAGUCAGAGGUGAAAGCCCAGGGCUCAACCUUGGAAUUGCCUUUGAUACUGGCUGUCUUGAGUUUGGGAGAAGUGAGUGGAACUCCGAGUGUAGAGGUGAAAUUCGUAGAUAUUCGGAAGAACACCAGUGGCGAAGGCGACUCACUGGCCCAAUACUGACGCUGAGGCGCGAAAGCGUGGGGAGCAAACAGGAUUAGAUACCCGUGUAGUCC
rnacentral:rRNA from 1 species